CCAACUUUUUCUGAACUCUCUCCCUCAACUGCUAUUCUAGAGCUUCCUGAGCUAACCCUUGUGUUUCUGUGUAGCAGUCAAGGUGGGAGGCUCAGAAAAUGUUGG
rnacentral:pre_miRNA from 13 species